GUGGGGAAUCUUGCGCAAUGGGCGAAAGCCUGAUGCAGCCAUGCCGCGUGAAUGAUGAAGUAUUUAGGAUUGUAAAAUUCUUUCACCGGGGACGAUAAUGACGGUACCCGGAUAAGAAGCUCCGGCUAACUACGUGCCAGCAGCCGCGGUAAUACGAAGGGGGCAAGCGUUGCUCGGAAUUACUGGGCGUAAAGGGCGCGCAGGCGGACCGGUUAGUCAGAGGUGAAAGCCCAGGGCUUAACCUUGGAAUUGCAUUUGAAACUGGCUGACUGGAGUUUGGGAGAGGUGAGAGGAAUUCCGAGUGUAGAGGUGAAAUUCGUAGAUAUUAGGAGGAACACCAGUGGCGAAGGCGGCUCACUGGACUAAUACUGACGCUGAGGCGCGAAAGCGUGGGGAGCAAACAGGAUUAGAAACCCUGUAGUCC
rnacentral:rRNA from 1 species